CUGUUGCGUCAGGAACACUUCCCUGCUUUAGGUGUAAUCAGGCUUUCCAACUGCUAUUUUACAUCAAUGCUAAGAGCUACACUGCACCUGAACCUCUCUGAAUUACAGCAGGAUGACAAUCAGUAAAUCAAAUCCAGUGAUACUACGGCAAACUACGCCUACAGGAUGGAUGGAAACAUCACACAUGCCAGGAAAACAGAAAUACGGUGUCUCAAACCAAGGGAUGACAGUCAAUGGGAAAACAAGGAAACAAAACCACCGAUUUCUGGCCACGCUGCUUCACAUCUGUUCCAUUAUUAUUAUUAUUAUUAUGACAAAUACUUGAAAGCAAUCCUUUUUUCUUUACAAAAGCUCCACGGUGCAGCGGUGUGGAUUUUCGUGACAGCUCCUCACGUUACCCAGUUCAUUGGUCUGUGUUUACAAAGGACUUAUUUGACUAGGGAAAAAAAAAAAAAAGGACAUACUUUUAUUGCCCCCCUUUAGCACUAACCUGGGCAGCCUGGAAGGAGCUGAGACCACUGACUGCUUGGGAACAACUCACAUACUGGAUUACAGGGGGGAAGAACCAUUUGUACAGCGUGACAUUGUGAAUUAGCUGAUGAUAUUAUGUAUUACGUUUAUUAUGUAUACUGUUAUGUUAUAUAUGCUAAAGAGGGGGUGCCAGGAAAGCUUUCUAAUGGGGCGCAGGGCUGGGAUGGAGGCAUUGGUACUGGUCUGCCUUAAUAUGUUAACUGCUAGGACUGAUGCAUGCCAUUCUGCAACCUCUGCCAGGGCAAAAGGCAAAGCAGCCCUGAAAUGAGCCCCCAGAGACAUCACCAAGAGCCCCCAAAGGCUGGGUUAUUGCCACAGCUUUAAGUUCAGACAAUAAAGUAAUUAGCAGAGGAGAAACCAUGAUUAGCAGAGUCAGUAUUACAACACGUAGCUGAGUGCAAAUCAGGACUAGAGCAGGCAGAGCAGAUUUACAGCCUCUGGUCAUACAAAUUUCAUGCCUAAUAACAUGCCUACACUUUUAAUAUCCUUGCAAGAACAUCAAGAUGACGCACAACGGAGACGUUUUGUUUGCCCUACAACAUCAGCUUGCAAAACAACCCACAAUAUUUGCCCGUGCGCAAAGAUGUGAUAGUGUGCCCUACUGAGAUUUUUCACAUAGAUUAAGCUUAAGUUGCUAUUUUCCCACGGGAACCCAUCACUUAAUGUCUCCUAAGCUAGAUACUGGCUGGAGAUUAAUUUGGAAAGGAGAUGUUAAGAUGUGAAAACUCUGUUUUCCAAACGUGCAGUCCUAGGCACGGUAUAAGGAAAGGCCGGUCCUGACAGACAUACAGUCAGCAGUGUACUGAAGUACAAGGCUCUGGGGCAAAGUGUAUGCAGGAAGAAGAAAGAUCCGUCCCCAAAGGAUGCUUUCCCAGCACCAGGAAUGAAUUUGCCUGGACAUGUUCCCAUUGGCUCAAGGGUAAGGAGUUUCCCUGAGGGGAUCCACUUAGUCGGCAACCUCGUCCUUGCAGAAGUUUGUGCCCUUGGAUAUAGGAGGAAGGAUGACACAUUUCUACCCGCAUCACGGCUGUGUACUCACAAAGAGGAAAGUGGAAUGCUGCUCGGAACUGAAGAAUACAGUGACUCAGAUUCACAUAAACAAUUAUUUCCGUCUCCAGUGGAUUAUCUCACGUUUACCAAAAGCAAUUGAGCAUGGAUGGAAUAAGAGAUAAACUCUCUGGCAAGAGCAGCAAGAACUCUGAACCAAGCACGUGAUGGACUCUGUGUCUAAGGGAAAGGGAGAGAGGAAGGACAGACGCAGCACAUGACCUGGAUACUGAGGAGCUGGCCAUAACACAGGGUCCACCUCGUAAUACAAGAAGGGAAAAUUCUGGCAAACACCAGAUUCUCUGGCAGAGAACCACAUGAUUCUGAGGAUGUGAAGUACUACUGACUGGCUGCUUCUCAGUAUUUGCCUACAACUUUUCUAGGUAUACCCGUGUGUUUAACAUGCCUUCUUUCCUACUCCAGCUUGCCUCCUUACCAUUAAAACUAAUCAAAUAAUUAGACUGGUACCAAAAAAAAAAAAAACCAAACAUUUAGCAUCGUGACAAAGGAGGAAAUAACAAAGCUUUCCGGUCUUUCCAAAUGCUGUCUUUUGUAUUCCUUAUCCUCCCAUGGGAUACUGUACAUUCUUACAAGAUGUCUUUCAUUUUCUUUCAAGUGUCACACAUACCUCUGCACUUAACAAAAGUGCAAGCAGCACUCGGUCUGACUGAAGCCAGCUGACUCAGCUCUGUGUGGAUGUGUGCACGAUGCUCUAGAGCAGAUUUCUCAUAACACUAAGCCACCCCCACAUGGAUACUGUGUAAUUUAUAUAGUGUUCCUUUGAAAAUGCUGCCCUGAAGCUGACUCACCAGCAUACAAUUCUACCUAAGGCACAUUUCUGGGAGUGGAGUUGGCUCUUUAUCAGAUGAUUCACAAAUCAGGCCUGGUAGCAAUCCUAAAGAAUAAGACCCUUUGCAAUAGACAUGCAAAGAGAAUUGAGGUGUGAAACAAAAGGAGAAAGGAUUAAACUAAUGCUCCGUUUCAACUGGUUUUGCAUAAACAAACCAAGGUUAAAAAUAGGCUGCUCCUACUGAGUGCUCAGCAGGCUGGAUGUACAAAUUAUACAAGACAGGAGAGAAACUACAAGUAGAUGUAUUAAAGCAAAGGUUUGUGAAGCAUCCUUAGCAACCCUGAAAAGCAACAUUUUCUUCAUCACUAACAAGAAACAAGUUUUUAUAUUUAAAUACAGGUCUACACAUUGUAAUUUUAAUGCACAUGUUUUGCUUCUUCCAAACAAAAUGUAACUCCAGUACAGAGUUAGUUUACCAGCUGAAACACUGGCUUCCAGAAACACACACCAGCUGCACAGGAAUCCCAGAAAAUCACAGGCCUUGGGUAGAUAAAUUAAUUAGCACACAGACAAGGGCACACAGGUUGCAUUUAAUCUUCUAAAAUAUCAUUUCUGUCUCAGAGUGUAACUGUUUUUUCUCAAGUGCACAGUGAUUUAAAGUCCUCAGUGCUCUCUACUUCAUUAGUUGCCAGAGGCAUAUUUUCACUAACCUGUUCCUAAAAAUGUAGGAGAUUAAUCUGUGCAUUAUCAUGAUUCUUUCAACAGAACAAGUUGAAGAAAUCAAUGCUGGGCUAGCUAUGCUUCAUUUCUUGCACAGGCCCAACCUAUUAAGGAUAGCCAUACAGAUGCGCCAUCUCCUCCUAAGAUUUGUAGUGUAACAAAACCCCAUUUUACUUACCUACUUCUGUUACUUCACGAUAAAUGCAUGCUGUGCUUCCUCUAUUGAUUCAUGUCAUUUUAUAUAAACAGGCUAAAAUAGUCUGUUAAACAGAUCAACCAGAAAUGUUGGUCUACUGUUCUACUGUGGUCGAUAAAGUAAUGCCCCCAGAAAUACCACAUAUUAAGUUGCUUGGGAACAGUGGAAACACCUAAAUUAAUCCUGAUCUUCAGAGUGGAGAUUUGCUUUCUAUUCUGAACAUUUUUCUGUAAUAUUCUGAAAGUUUGUUAUCUGCUCAUAGCUUCAAACAGAUCAGGACAACAACAAUGCAGCUUCGAUGUACUAGUCAUCUCACUGCUGUCUCCAGCAAAAUCAAAGCAGAUCUAGCCCAGACAAGCACAAAAGAACACUCUGUACCCUGCUGCUCCUGCUAUUUGGAAAAUUCAAAGCAGCAGUGAAUGCUGUGGGUCACAGGUUGCAGUUCCAUGAGUCCUUCAAAAUCCCUCUGGCUGUCUGCUGCUGCUGCAAUGAGGCAGAACUGCCCACUGCUGGUCCUUCUGAAAUCCCGCUCCCUAGAAGGAAGCUCUGCACCUUACAAAGGACUAAGGCCUGAGAAGUGCAGCUCAGGAGAGCAAAGUCAGCAGCAGAACACAAGAGACAGCAGUGACAGGCCUAGAACGAGGGGAGCACUAGACCAGACAGUGGGCCUGGUAAAUCAUAACCCAUCAGUUCUUGACAUCAGGAGCACAGAUACCGUUAAUAGAGAAGUGCUGCUCUGCAAUUAUUUGCACCUUUUCCUUUCCUGGAACAGGACUGCCUGUAUACCUUAUGCUAGAUCUGCAUCUCUGCACCAUCUUGCACUACUUCUCUAGCUGAUGUUGGUGAUCCCUUUGUCUGCUGCAUCUCAUAAUAAAGUUAUCCAGACAAGAAAGUCACCAAACUUGAAAUUGCAUGGGUUUAUGACAGCCGUUUAUUUUUAACAAAGCUGAGUUAGCAAAGAGGUAUUAAGCAAGUUUGCAGUUUGUCUGCAAGUACUUCACAAUUAGCCAGUUUUACAUGCUGGCAUACUAGAAAUAAACAAAUAAGCUUUUGGGUAUUUUAAAGCUUAAAAAAAAAAAAAACAUAGUUCAGUAGCAGUUUUGCUUUAGGCAAAAACGAAGUAUCUUCCUGUCAUAUCUGGCAGCAACAUAACCAUUUUAUGGUCUGGCCAAGUGAAGAAGAGAAAUUAGGUGACAGGCGUAAGUUCUACACAAAGUCUGGAAAGGAUCUACAAGCCAAAAACAGACCUCAGAUCAUUUCCACACUCACAAGCUACUAAUGCUCGUUUGUUAUUUAACUAUUAAGCUAGUUGUACAAGAUCUAAAUACUGAACAUGAAAUCGUAACAGAAAUACUAGUGAAAAAAAAAGAGUCUUAAACACCCUGAAGGUAAAUGCAUGUUGCCAUCAAAUUAUGAAAUUCCAGCAUCAGUAACCAUCAGCUGCUGCUGGCUGCUCCCAGCACCAAAGCUUUGAUCCUUUUUUUUUUGACCACUAAGAAGACAUAACAUUUGAUUUUGUUGUCUAGCAGAUAUGUAAUGCAGUCUUCACAUGCCUAGUGUGCUCUGCUGAAGGAAGUGCUCGUGACACUGGUCUGUCAUACCCUAAGUAAUCAGUAAGCAGCAAAUACAGCUCCAAUGCAAACAACCUGCUGGCUUCUCACUAGAAAAAGCCCACCUGUGCUGCUGGACCCUACUCAAGACCACACACAGAAUGACAGCCAACCUUUCAGUUUGCAUCUUUACAAAACCCAAUACAUUGCACCCUAUUUGAGGUUUCCUAAGAAACUGUUCCAACAAAACAACAAAAAAGGAAGAUAACAACCACAGACAUCUAUGGACACAGGCAGAAUUAGUAGCAGACUGUGGCAUGACCUGUUAUGGAAGGAGAAAAAAGCAUGGUAAGGAAAAAGGACAGUGCAGGAGACGGUUAAUUCAAAACAAGCUUUUGACAAAUGGCAGAUGAAGAAUUUGGUGCAAAGUACAAAGAGGUUCAUUCUCAAAAAUGAUCAAAAGUUAGUCCAGGUAUUUCUAAAACACAACUAACUGUGUCAAAAGCCAGUUCCAAGUGCAUUAUAAAUGAUGUCUUUAACACUGCUGUCAGUAUCAGAUACUUCUUACAUUUACUCCUAGUCAGCAUACCUCAAGAAAUUUGACCCCCACUUUGAAACAGUGACAGAAUGACUGGGAAACAUACAGAAGGCUUUGCAUAUAUUUGACUUCAAGAGUUAAAUCUAAGAGAACACCAAGUUAUGUAUUAUAAAAAGAGUAAAAAAAAACCCCAAAGCCUAGAUGGUAGUUACUGUUGGUACUGUGCAGGUAUUAACAGAA